AGAAAAGAAGCUAGUCCCAAAACUGCUUCAGUGCCUAAUUCCCCGGUGAAAACCUCGCCAACUGCAGCGAGGCCAACAACUUCUCCACCGAAACAAACCACACCUGCGUCAUUGCCUUCUUCUUCAGCCAAGCCAGUGGCAACUACUGCCUCUGUUCCAUCUUCCCCAGCCAAGUCCGUGGCAACUACGGCCUCUGUUCCAACUUCUCCAGCCAGGACAGUUGCAACUGCUGUCUCUGCACCAACUUCUUCUCCAGCCAAGACAGCCCCAACUACAACAUCGGUGACAAAUUCCACAACCCCAAAACCUGCCCCCUCUAUGACGACUACGAAUCGUGUGGCCAGCCCCAAAGCGUCAACAAUACCAACAGUCAAACCUGCCAUGCAGUCUCCAGUUCAAUCGACAAAGAUCAAAGCGCCAACUGCUCCACCACCUUCACCUUUGACUCUCCCACCUCCCCAGUUGAGAGGUCAAGCUGAGCUUGAACCCAAGAUCCCUGUUGAGGCAGAGCAAAAGACUGUGCUCGUUCAAAAGAUGAUUGAAAAGCCCAGGGGGCUUUUUGGUGCCCCUCAAAAGGAUGUUGGUGAC
rnacentral:lncRNA from 1 species